rnacentral:lncRNA from 1 species
CAUAGAUUUGCGAAAAUGAAAAUUCAAUUCAAAGUAAACAGGUAAAGAGAGAAAUCAUACUUACAAUGGUUGAUGAGAUUUUUAAAAAAAAAAAAUCACAUAGACAUCUGGAUGUACUUGUGAGGUUUUAACACCAAAUGGGUAGGAGUACUAUGGGCUCAAGGUUUCUAUUUUAACCUAAUAGUGAGCCUUUCACCAAUAUCACAAACUGCAGGUGGGUUGGACUUUUUUCUUGUGAAAAAAUGAGCCAAAUCGAGAAUGAUUGUCCCAUUAGCAAACUGCAUAUGGUCCAUUCAAUCCUCAACACCUCCUAAGUGUUUCAUGGGGUGCAGCUAGGGUUUAGGCGCAAGUUGUGUGUGCAAAUUGUAGUGCUAAGGCAUAUGUAAAGGCAAGCACAACAAUUGAUAUCCAAAUAAUGCUUCAAUCUUAUUCAUAUAAACAUUCAUUCCUUACACCAACUAUUAAACAAACAUGUCAUAAAACAAUCCACCCUUAUAAUUCCUAACCUACACCAACAUUUGACACAAUGUUAGUGGACUUACC